GCCGGAAAGAGGACCCGUGCCGGUGUCAUCACUUCCGCUUAACAACGGAGCACGGUGCCCCGUUGCCAGGGGACGCCGAGCAGUGUUCAGGCCAUGGCGGCAGCGAAGAAGCAGGUUCCCCGGGAGCCAUUGAGCUUCGUGCUGCGCGGGCACCGGGCCCCGCUCCGAGAGAAACGAAAUGAAUUUCUCAGUAAUACUCAGAAAACUGCACUUGGCCAACAUCAUAACUCUCAUGAAUUAGCCAAGAACCAGGCACCUCUGGGCAACCUGAAAAACACUUCAUGGACUCACGAGGAAGAAAUGGCUGGUUUGUCUUCUCAGAAGGACAGUCCCACCAUUGACGACCUAGAGGAAAGUUUACAGAAGCUGAAAGUCCAAGUGCACCCACGCUUGGCCCACAGCUUGAGUCUUGACUCUGACACCGAAGAUGUCUCUGGUUCAGAUGCCACGGACCUCUGUAGUCCUGGUCAAUCUCAGUGGUCUGAAGAUCGAUGUACCCCAUCUCCUGAGUGGGAGAGGGAAGCCCUGCUGAAGGCACCCAUGGACUUGGGACGGUUUCUGAGUCCCCAGCGCUUGGCCACACCGUUGGGAAAUAACUCACACCUUAGGACUUUAGGCCUUCCAGUGAGGUCCCUGGCUCCAGGCAACUCCAGAGCAGGCCUUCUGGGAAGUGAGGUGUCCAGCAGUAGCUGUCUGCCCUCUGUAGCCUUGGUGAUGGAUGGGUCCCCAGCACAGUCCUGCCCGCCUAAACUAGGAGCACCUCACGUGAUCGGUGUGAAGUCUCUGCUGCCUCCUAAGAUCCCAGUGAGGUCCUGCUCUCCCCAGAGGAGAGGCGGCUCUCCCAGAAUACCCAGAGGCAGGUCUCUUUCUCUCACCCGAUCCCAUUCUUUCUCCCCGGCUUCCAAAAGGACGCGAUGGGUCCGGUCUCAUUCCCAGUCCCCCAGGCCCAUCUGGAGACCCACCUCAGCCAGAGCCAAUGCUUGUGCACAGCCCCCACCUCAGCUCAUCCAAUCCAGGGGAAGCAGAAGGAAACCGGCACUCAGCAGACCAUCUCAAUUUCGAACUUCUAAGACUGGUCCCUGGGCUGCCCCCCGGGGCUGCAUGCCCCCCGAAACCAGGGAGGAAGAAACCCUGGACCACUCCUGGAGCCCUUACUGCCUGCCUGUGCCUGGGAUCUCCUCCCCCCUGGCUCAGGAGAUGAACGAAAGGUUCUUCCAGACCCUCCAAGAAGGGCAUGUGCAUCAGUCCCUGGGGACCGUGGCCCCCAUCCAGAGAGCCUUGACACGACUCCGUUUGCAGCGCCUUCGGGCAGAGGAAGAGUGGGUAUUGGAGCUGAAGAGACAGCAAGAGCAGGAACGGACCCGAGGCCCCAAGGCCAAGUGGUACGAGAUGAGAAGCUCCCAGUUCCAUUAUGAAGCCCACAAACAUAAUGAGAGGCUGAGGAAUAGCCAGGUCUCGCCGCUGCUCUGUAAACUAGAGACAGGAACUGGCUUCUGAGGCCAAGGAGUUCGACGAGCACUCCCUGCCUGCCCACCUGGAUUCCUUUUUAACACAGCAGGAUGGUUAGGAACGGGUUUGGAAGGCUAGUGAAGCUAUCAGCUGAAGCCUUCGAGUUCUCCAGGGUUCUCUGGCCUUGUGGAAUGGAGAGCAAGGAGGCCACUGUCUUCCAGAAUGAACACCCCAAACCCCAGAGGAACCUUCCUUUGGAAGAGGGAGAGAAAGAGCCAGCUCUUCUUACUGACUGGACAAAGAUUGGAAGGUCUCAUCUUGGAACAGAGAAACUCGAAGCCGAAAGGAGACGUGGGCUUGUCUCUCUCGUCCCCACUGCUUAAAACCCAGCAGAGAAGGACUGGCUUCUUCUGGAGAGAUGUUUGUCCAUUCAUUCACUCGCUCAAAGUGCACUUGUGAAAUAUCUACCAUCACUAAUUGCCAAGUGAGAUACAAAGUGUAGCUAAGACAACUCUUGUUUUCAUUCAGUUUGGUAAAACAAAUACCAAGUGGGGCUCUGUCAUUGACAUGACAUUCAGGGAGCUCGCAGCCUCUUCAAGGGGACGAGAUAAACAGAGAGCACCAGAAUAUACAGUAUUAUGACUUGAGUGCCCCAGAGAGUCCAGAGGAAGGCUGUUGCCAGCCAGGGCUUGAUGGAGGUGGGGGCUAGGGAAUGGGGAAGUCUCUCUGGACAAAGUAGUAAUGGAAUUGGGCUUUGAAGAAUGAGUUAAUAUUUAACAAGCCAAGAAGGGGAGGAAGGGCGCUAACCUGCAAACCAUGGGACAGGAGCUGCUGGUGUUGGUGUUGGCCACAUUACAAACGUGAUUAAAUAAAAAGUUCUGAUCAAUAGUGUUUGAAUGGACC
rnacentral:lncRNA from 1 species